rfam:Equus caballus chromosome 20, whole genome shotgun sequence.
GCCUUGGUGGUCUAGUGGUUAAGAUUCAGUGCUCUCACCGCCAUGGCCCAGGUUCAUUUCCUGGUCAGGGAA